rnacentral:rRNA from 1 species
AGAGUUUGAUCCUGUUGCCGAUUGUUGCCUGGCGGCAUGCUCUACUGUGCUGCUCGAACGGCACCGCGGGAAACCUGGCUGCCAUCGACUCCUCGUGGACCUAUAUAUCGGAACUUACCCCGGCGUGGGGUGUAACGUACCGAAAGUUACCCUACUACCGGGUACGAUCUAUCGAUGAAAGUGUAUCAUAGCCCGAACUCAAGCCCGUGGAUCGACCGAUAUCUGAUUAGCUCGUUGGUAGGCGCGGAUCCUACUGUGGCGUCGAUCACUAUCUGGGCUGAUGGGACACCGCCCGCCCUGCCACUGAGACGCGGUUUACACUCCUACGGUAGGUUACCCUGAGGAAUUUUGCUUAAUGGGUAAAAUUCUGAGACUGCAGUGACGUCUGAGCAAAGUAGGCAUCGCUAUGGAUCCUCGUUUGUCGAGCUCGAAAUCAGUGCUUCUCAUAUUACGACCUCAUGACUGUGACUGAAGUAUCAGCACCGGCUAACUACGUGCCAGCAGCCGCGGUAAUACGUAGGGUGCAAGCGUUAAUCGGAAUUACUGGCGUAAAGCGUGCGCAGGCGGUUUUGUAAGUCUGUUGUGAAAUCCCGGGCUCAACCUGGGAAGUGCGCCCAAUUCGCGCACUCUGGCUAUGCCUCAGCUCUGGCCGAGGGGGCUUGACUUCCACAUCGAAGCAGUGAAUUGCGUUACAUAUGUGAGAGCAACCUCGAUCGCGAAGUCAGUCUCCUUGGUUCAAAUCUGACGUUCAUUGCACGAAAGGCGUGCGAAGCAACCAGGAAUUAGAUCGCCUGGUAGUUCCACGCUCCUAACGGAUGUUCUUACUAAGUUGUUCGGGUGCUUAUUGAACUUGGUAAGGCAGCCUAAGCGCUGAAGUAGCCCGCCUUGGGGAGUACGUUCGCCAAGGUUGAAAGCUUCACAGGGAGAUGACGGGGACCCGCACAACCGUGGAUGAUGUGGAUAAUUCGAUGCACCGCGAAAAACCUUACCUACCCUGCCAUGGAGGGAUUCCCCGAAGAGAUUUGGGGAGUUUGCGCCAAAAUAAAACCUUCACACAGGUGCUGCAUGGCUGUUCGUCAGCUCGUCGUCGUGAGAUGUUGGGGUUAAGUCCCGCCAACGAGCGGCAACCCUUGUCAUUAGUUGCUACGAAAGGGCACUCUAAUGAGACUGCCCGGUGACAAACCGGAGGAAGGUGGGGAUGACGUCAAGUCCUCAUGGCCCUUAUGGGUAGGGCUUCACACGUCAUACAAUGGUACAUACAGAGCGCCGCCAACCCGCGAGGGGGAGCUAAUCGCAGAAAGUGUAUCGUAGUCCGGAUUGUAGUCUGCAACUCGACUGCAUGAAGUUGGAAUCGCUAGUAAUCGCGGAUCAGCAUGUCGCGGUGAAUACGUUCCCGGGUCUUGUACACACCGCCCGUCACACCAUGGGAGCGGGUUUUACCAGAAGUAGGUAGCUUAACCGCAAGGAGGGCGCUUACCACGGUAGGAUUCGUGACUGGGGUGAAGUCGUAACAAGGUAACC